GACGAACGCUGGCGGCGUGCUUAACACAUGCAAGUCGAACGGAAAGGCCCUGCUUUUGUGGGGUGCUCGAGUGGCGAACGGGUGAGUAACACGUGAGUAACCUGCCCUUGACUUUGGGAUAACUUCAGGAAACUGGGGCUAAUACCGGAUAGGAGCUCCUGCUGCAUGGUGGGGGUUGGAAAGUUUCGGCGGUUGGGGAUGGACUCGCGGCUUAUCAGCUUGUUGGUGGGGUAGUGGCUUACCAAGGCUUUGAAGGGUAGCCGGCCUGGGAGGGUGAACGGCCACAUGGGGACUGAGAGACGGCCCAGACUCCUACGGGAGGCAGCAGUGGGGAAUAUUGCACAAUGGGCGGAAGCCUGAUGCAGCAACGCCGCGUGCGGGAUGACGGCCUUCGGGUUGUAAACCGCUUUCGCCUGUGACGAAGCGUGAGUGACGGUAAUGGGUAAAGAAGCACCGGCUAACUACGUG
rnacentral:rRNA from 1 species